CCCGCAACCAGUGGGAGGACAGUUUAAGACCAGCAUGCUCCCUGAGGACACGCCCCUUAGAGGAAGGGCCGUCUGCAAACACACCCGCCAGGUUUGAACAAAGCACCCAAUUAGGGAGCUGAAGCAGCAAACCUGCACAGGAAAUAAGGAUGGAGUUUCUCUGUGGGAGGCCAGCACUGCGCCAACAUUUCAGCUCCACACGCCAGCCUCCUUUUUUUUUCAAUCUCAGCUGUAACCCGAUUGUGAAAGGGAUUAUUAAAAAUGUUCUGUACUGUGUUUUCAAGAAAAAAAAAAUAGAGAGCCCUCUGACUCAAGAGUUUAUGGUUUCUGGGAAACUAUAAUGUGGAAACUCAGUGGAACCAAAGAACCGUGAAUUGUGUACAGUGGCAUUUUGCACGCCGCUCGCUUAUUAAGGCGUGACAUUGGAAAGCCAAUUAGGAAUUUCCUGGUAAAUACAGAUGCCUGAAGAUACACUGACUGAGAUAAACAAGCGAGAGGAUCAACGCCAGUAGCGUAUGACUGUAAUCACCUAAUACAUUUUGUCUAAUUCAACUCCUCACCUGCAUGUCUCGCUCCAGCUGCAGCAGAUGGUACCUGUGCCAGGUGAGGAAGCCGGGACCUUCGUGGGAGAAGUCCACGCCGCCGAAGCUGGCCUGCCCGGCGCCCAGGAAGGUCUUGCUGACAGAGUAGUAAUGGGACCAGACAAAGUAGUUGUAGAUCGUGACGUUUUCAAACUGCGAAGCGUUCCCCCCAGGGCCGAAGAUGUCCGAGUAGUGGCGCGUGGCGAUCACCAGGUCGGGGUGCGGCGUCCGCUUGGCUUGGUGCAGCGCGCCCACGAAGGCCCGCUUCUCGUCAGCACUGAGCUGCAUCACGUUUCUCCUCAC